AAAGGGUCCGUAGGCGGACUCGUAAGUCAGUGGUGAAAUCUCAUAGCUUAACUAUGAAACUGCCAUUGAUACUGCGGGUCUUGAGUAAAGUAGAAGUGGCUGGAAUAAGUAGUGUAGCGGUGAAAUGCAUAGAUAUUACUUAGAACACCAAUUGCGAAGGCAGGUCACUAUGUUUUAACUGACGCUGAUGGACGAAAGCGUGGGGAGCGAACAGGAUUAGAUACCCGUGU
rnacentral:rRNA from 1 species